GACGGCGUGGCGAAGCUAGUUACGCGACGGUCUGCAAAACCGUUACACAUGGGUGCAAAUCCCAUCGCCGUCU
rnacentral:tRNA from 1 species